AGCACGGGAUUACUGAUUUAGUGUCGCCUUACUUCUUAAAGCACAAAAUAGCACGGCUACACAACCUUGCUUUGAGCAAAGUGAGCAUAACAGCUACCCGCUACCCAUUAAGCGUAGUUAUGAAGGAAAAAGGACAACCUAACCAUAAUUGCAUAAUGAAUUAUUUUCCAGCAGAAACAACAUCAUGUUGGCCAACCUGAAAGAAAGGACUCACCUUUAAUGAAGAAGGAAGCCGAACACACUCACAUUAUAACAGCAACAGGAGAAUUUCCAAGAAUUUCUGGACUACAAAAAUUCAUAGAAACUCCAUUAUGUGGGACAAACUCACAAUUGGCGAGCUUGGUGAGCAAUUACACAGGGACACGAUUAAGCAAGCAGACUUAAGACCUGAUUCUAACAAUUGCCAACUGUGAAAUAAUACAAUUAGUGAGUGAAAUAUUACAUGCUAAGCAAGCCAACUCAAGAAACUGAUUCUAACCAAUUACCUUUAGACAAGUAGUCUAAAUUUCAUGUGACAUGUGGUGUUCAUUGAAUAACUGAUAAAAACAGAGGAAACAAUAGAAGAUGGUAAGAAAUAAUUUUAUGUUGCAGAAAUGAGAAUACUUAAUGAAGCAUUGGGGCAUAAGAAUAGAUAAAUGAGUCCUUAGUUAACUCUUUAGCAAGAUCUGCACAUCAAUCCAAAAGUAAGAGCUGUCUAUUGCUGAUCACUUGCUACACCGAUGAAACAUUCAUCCGAAUAUUAUCACUCACUAACCGGCAAAUUGGCACACACAAAACACACAUCAUGCAUGAGGUAAUGGCUCUAUAGGCAUCGACAACAUCACCGAUCCAUACCUGCGCACGAAUUGAUGAACAAAGGUGAGGGCACACAUGGCUAGCAUGGCAGGAGGAAGCAUUGGCAGGGAAGGCAAGAGCUG
rnacentral:lncRNA from 1 species